AGCCCAAUGCGGGACUUGAUUCCGGGACCCCGAGAUCAUGACCUGAGCUGAAGGCCAUCGCUUAACAAACUGAGCUGCCUGGGUGCCCUGAAUACACACUUCUGACCUUCAGUAGAGGCCCCAUGGACCUUAGGCCAUGAGCAAGUCUGAAGCAAGCAGAGGGUUGACAAGCACCUGUGUACUGACACUUGCUCUCUUGGAGCCCAGCUGUGAAGGAAACAAGUCCGUGCUGUCCUGCUAGAGGGACGACGUGGAGGAAAAUCAGGGUACAGAGCCCAAACUGGCCACCAGAUCUGUAGAUGAGGCCAUCAGAAAAGUGCCAGCUCCCAGCCAAACUGUUGUAUGACUGCAGCUGCUUACGUGACCCCAAGGAAGGCCAUCAGAUGUGCUGCCUGGGAGCGGCAUUGACGUCAUAAGGAAAGUGCCAUAUACUUAUCGCAGUGAAUCAACUCUGUGUAGAAACCAUCUUUCAACUAACAGCUCUCAGGAAGACAGAGGCGUUUUCAAACGUAGCAUAAGGAAAAUGCCAUUUACUUAAUUCAGUGAAACCAUGUGAGUUGAUAGCAUCUUUAACUAACAUCUUCAUCAUGAACUUAGAAGCACUUUUAUUUUUAUUUAUUUAUUUUUAAAGACAAUGAUAGCUGGAGGCUUCAAUACCCCACUCUCAAUGAUGGACAGAA